rnacentral:rRNA from 1 species
UACGGAGGAGGCAAGCGUUAUCCGGAAUUAUUGGGCGUAAAGCGUCCGCAGGUGGCACUUCAAGUCUGUCGUCAAAGACUGGGGCUUAACCCUGGAAAGGCGGUGGAAACUGAAGCGCUAGAGUGUGGUAGGGGUAGAGGGAAUUCCAGGUGUAGCGGUGAAAUGCGUAGAUAUCUGGAAGAACACCAGUGGCGAAGGCGCUCUACUGGGCCGUAACUGACACUGAGGGACGAAAGCUAGGGGAGCGAAAGGG